GUUUCCGUAGUUUAGCGGUUAUCACGUCUGCUUCACACGCAUAAGGUCCCCGGUUCGAUCCCGGGCGGGAACA
rnacentral:tRNA from 1 species